CCCUUAGAUGUUCUGGGCCGCACGCGCGCUACACUGACGCAUACAGCGAGCACUUUCCAGUUCCGAGAGGCUACUGGUAAUCAUCAAUAUGCGUCGUGAUGGGGAUAGAUCUUUGGAAUUCUGGAUCUUGAACGAGGAAUGCCUAGUAAUCGCAGGUCAUUAGCCUGCGAUGAUUAAGUCCCUGCCCUUUGUACACACCGCCCGUCGCUACUACCGAUUUCGAGUGGUCAGGUGAAUCUUUCGGACUGUGGGCGCCCUUGAGGUGUUCGCGGAAAGUCAGGUAAAUCUUAUCACUUAGAGGAAGUAAAAGUCGUAACA
rnacentral:rRNA from 1 species